CGCUUCAUACAUGCAAGUCGAGGGGCAGCAUAAAGUACUUGUACUUUGAUGGCGACCGGCGAACGGGUGCGUAACGCGUAUGCAACUUACCUUUUACUAGAGAAUAGCCAAGAGAAAUUUUGAUUAAUGCUCUAUACUCUUUUUAACUCACAUGAGUUUUUAAGAAAAGCUCCGGCGGUAAAAGAUGGGCAUGCGUCCUAUUAGCUUGUAGGUGAGGUAACGGCUCACCUAAGCUCCGAUAGGUAGGGGUCCUGAGAGGGAGAUCCCCCACACUGGUACUGAGACACGGACCAGACUUCUACGGAAGGCAGCAGUAAGGAAUAUUGGACAAUGGAGGAAACUCUGAUCCAGCGAUGCCGCGUGAAGGAAGACGGCCCUAUGGGUUGUAAACUUCUUUUAUACAGGAAGAAACCUUUCCACGUGUGGAAAGCUGACGGUACUGUAAGAAUAAGGAUCGGCUAACUCCGUGCCAGCAGCCGCGGUAAUACGGAGGAUCCAAGCGUUAUCCGGAAUUAUUGGGUUUAAAGGGUCCGCAGGCUGUUUGUUAAGUCAGGGGUGAAAUCCUACCGCUCAACGGUAGAACUGCCUUUGAUACUGGCAAACUUGAGUUAUUGUGAAGUAGUUAGAAUGUGUAGUGUAGCGGUGAAAUGCAUAGAUAUUACACAGAAUACCAAUUGCGAAGGCAGAUUACUAACAAUUAACUGACGCUGAGGGACGAAAGCGUGGGUAGCGAACAGGAUUAGAUACCCUGGUAGUCCACGCCGUAAACGAUGGUCACUAGCUGUUCGAUGUACAUUGGUACAUUGAGUGGCUAAGCGAAAGUGAUAAGUGACCCACCUGGGGAGUACGC
rnacentral:rRNA from 1 species